CGCGUAGGCGGUUGUGCGAGUGUGGUGUGAAAGCCCCGGGCUUAACCUGGGAAGCGCAUCGCAAACGGCAUGACUGGAGUAGAUGAGAGGGUGGCGGAAUUUCCGGUGUAGCGGUGAAAUGCGUAGAGAUCGGAAGGAACGUCAAUGGCGAAGGCAGCCACCUGGCAUCAUACUGACGCUGAGGCGCGAAAGCGUGGGUAGCGAACA
rnacentral:rRNA from 1 species